GGGCUUUUAGCUCAGUUGGUUAGAGCAACAGACUCAUAAUCUGGAGGUCCCAGGUUCAAGCCCUGGAUGGCCCACCG
rnacentral:tRNA from 1 species